rnacentral:pre_miRNA from 1 species
AAUGUAUGACGCUGUUGACUUUUUGUCUAACGUUUAACCAUUCGUCUUAUUCAAAAAAUUUAUGUAAUUAUUAUUUAUUUUAUUGUGACUUGAUUCAUCAUCAAAUGUUCUUUAAACAUGACAUAAAUAUUUUCAUAUUUGCACAAAAAAUUUGAAUAAAACGAAUGGUCAAACGUUGGUCGAAAAGUCAACAGUGUGAUACAU